AAAUUGAUUAAUUGACAGUAGCAGUAAUAUUAUCGUUUUUUUUUCAGAAAGCCAUGGACUUAUGUGUUAUAAAUGUGAAAAUGAACGAAACAACUUUCUGUGUGUAGGAGAAUAUAAUCUGAAGCAAUGUGAUUCAGGAUUCGAUACUUGUCAGACGACGGUGUCAUACUCAGAGGUAAGCGAACAGCUUUCAAUAAUUAAAACCUGUACGAAAAAUUCCUCGUGUCACCUGCAAAUAAAAGAACAUUCGGAAUCUGACCCAUGUGAUCAAACAGGAAGUAGCUGGAUAUGCACCACCUGUUGUAAUGAGGACGCAUGUAAUUUAAACAAUGCACCUAGUAAAGCCUCGUUUUCAUCCGUUCUGUCAUAUAUGAAUAUAUUUUUGUAUUUAUACAUUAAAUGUAUUGUAUAAAAUCUA